UACGUAGGGGGCAAGCGUUGUCCGGAUUUAUUGGGCGUAAAGAGCGUGUAGGCGGCCAGGUAGGUCCGUUGUGAAAACUCGAGGCUCAACCUCGAGACGUCGAGUGAAACCAUCUGGCUAGAGUCCGGAAGAGGAGAGUGGAAUUCCUGGUGUAGCGGUGAAAUGCGCAGAUAUCAGGAAGAACACCCGUGGCGAAGGCGGCUCUCUGGGACGGUACUGACGCUGAGACGCGAAAGCGUGGGGAGCGAACAGG
rnacentral:rRNA from 1 species